GCGGUCGGCGGCGCCCCCGGAGGCCAUCAAACACUGCGUAAUUUUGCGUCGGAGUUUAAAUCAAAUUAAACAAAACUUUCAACAACGGAUCUCUUGGUUCUGGCAUCGAUGAAGAACGCAGCGAAAUGCGAUAAGUAAUGUGAAUUGCAGAAUUCAGUGAAUCAUCGAAUCUUUGAACGCACAUUGCGCCCCUUGGUAUUCCGAGGGGCAUGCCUGUUCGAGCGUCAUUACACCACUCAAGCCUGGCUUGGUAUUGGGUGCCGCGGGCCUCCCGCGCGCCUCAAAGUCUCUCCGGCUGAGCGGCUCCGUCUCUAAGCGUUGUGGAAACUAUUCUCGGUGAGAGGGGGCGGCGCGGCCGUUAAACUUUUCUUAAAGGUUGACCUCGGAUCAGGUAGGGAUACCCGCUGAACUUAAGCAUAUCAAUAAGCGGAGGAAAAGAAACCAACAGGGAUUGCCC
rnacentral:rRNA from 1 species